rnacentral:lncRNA from 1 species
AUGGUUUUUAUAUAUAUCAAUUCUAGACUGUUACAGGUGGACGCCUCAAGAGAGAGAAGAGCAAACGAAAGCAGCUGGUUUUGCAGGAAUGUGUGUUGCACGGUGCCAGUUGGGCCUGGUCCCCUGUUUCCAUCCUUGCCCCCCAGGGGCCUCUGUCAGGCACCCCAGCAGGGCCCUCUGAAGACAGUGAGCGUAUGCUCCUGCCUCCACCUCGGCUCUUGCCCAGGGAGGGGACUGGCCCCUUGUCUCGACCAAAGCUGCCGAUGGGCAGCUCGGCCUCUCCACAACCCUGUCCUGAUGGCUGUAGCAUUCUUCUUGGGCCCACACCCUGACCCCCAGUCCCCGACCCCAACAGCAGCCCCAGGCUGGCUGUGGGAAGGGCCAUGCCACCAUUUGCUCAUCAUUCCGUGGGGUAUGUCGGCCUUGGCCAACCCAACAUGGAGAGGCCAGGGCUGGGGACAGUCCACUCUCCACUGCCCUCCUGCCCACCCCAGCUCUGUGUGUCUGAAUUGUGGAUCGUGCAGAAGAACCUGCAGCCAUAGUUAUUUGACUAUAUCUUGACCGAGGGCUUGCAGUGCAAAGCCAGGCCAGUGUCGUGCAUUACUUACAAUAAAAGGGAUCAUUUAUACUCAAGGGGUCCUGUGGCAGUGCUUUUGGUUGUGGGGUGGAGGCAGUAAGUGUUUACCUGGGAGAAACCAGGUUAUGCUGCCUGUCAACAAGCUUGCAUCCCUCAGCAGAGAACUUGAAAUGACUCCCAGAGGGGUCCUCGGUUGGUGGGACUUGGCUGGUACCACUACCAGCUCAGAGGUGGCACCCUCUCUUCCUCCCUAAAUCCUCGGAGAUCUACUGAGGAUGGUCCUACCACAGCUGACUUCCUGAGGUGACACUGUCAGCUCACCCGACUUGAGCGUCACCAUGGCUCAGUUCCUAGGACUUCUGUGGCACCCACUAGUCCUCCCAGCCCCGGGAAGUCCUUGCUGACUGGAGUCACAUCCUUGCAGGGCAGGUACCGCCAUGAGCCACCUCUGGUAGCUCUUGGGUGAUCUGAUGCUGUUGCUUAGCUCUGAGCAGAGGAAGACCAUCCUCGUCUCCAGCUGAAGCCUCUGGUGCAGAAGUUAGAGCUGCCCUGAGUGAGGCUCUCUGCAUUCCCCUCAUGCUCUGAGGACCCAGGUUCAGAAUGCCUACUCUGCGUCCUGUUAGCUCUGUCACUUCCAAAGGCAACACAGCACAGUGGCCUGUCUACCACCGGAGCUCGAGGCCCUGCUUCCUGCCCUGUUCUGUGGGCACGAGGUCACUGAGGAACUUAAGGACUUGCAUAGCGUUAGGGUCGGGUAAUCCCCUAGGAGUCUGCCCUCUUGUUCUGCCAAUUUACACAGUCCAGUCAGCUGGGGGAAACCAGGACAGUUGGGUCUGGGGCAGGACAGUGCGGACUUCCUGUCUGUAUUCUCCUGAGGGGUGGGGUCUUAGGUCCUCCUUGUUUGUGUCACUGUAAACUGUUGUCCCCAAGAGAAGCAGAAGAGCUGUUUCUCCUUUGACUACUUGGGAUGGUGACCGAGUGCCCCAGUCCCUGGAGCUGGAAAAGCAGAAGGAAGAGGGACCCUGAAGGGGCACACUGACUCCUUGCUGAGGAAGGGCAUAUAGACUAAGCUCUUGGACACAACUUGUUGGAUCCGCUGGUUCACCAUCCCUUCCUGAUUGCCAGGACAAAGAGGAUCUAGGUAAGGACUCAGCAAAAGUGCAGUGAGGCUCAGCACUGUCACCCGCUGAAGCCUCUGGUGCAGAAGUUAGAGCUGCCCUGAGUGAGGCUCUCUGCAUUCCCCUCAUGCUCUGAGGACCCAGGUUCAGAAUGCCUACUCUGCGUCCUGUUAGCUCUGUCACUUCCAAAGGCAACACAGCACAGUGGCCUGUCUACCACCGGAGCUCGAGGCCCUGCUUCCUGCCCUGUUCUGUGGGCACGAGGUCACUGAGGAACUUAAGGACUUGCAUAGCGUUAGGGUCGGUAAUCCCUAGGAGUCUGCCCUCUUGUUCUGCC